UCUCUCUUUCGCAUAGGCCCGCGGUGCCGGCACAAUGGGCAAGUGUUGUGGGCUCCAAACUGCUAAGAAGCUCCGUAGUCACAGACGAGACCAGCAGUGGCAUGAUAAACAGUACAAGAAGGCCCAUCUGGGCACAGUCCCGAAGGCCAACCCUUUUGGAGGUGCUUCCCAUGCAAAGGGGAUUGUGUUGGAAAAAGUAGGAGUUGAAACCAAACAGCCAAAUUCUGCCAUCAGGAAGUGUGUCAGGGUCCAACUGAUCAAGUAUGGCAAGAAAAUCACAGCAUUUGUACCCAAUGAACAAGGUUGCUUGAACUUUAUUGAGGAAAACGAUGAGUUUCUGGUUGCUGGAUUUGGUCAAAAAGGUCAUGCUGUUGGUGACAUUCCUGGAGUCUGCUUUAAGGUUGUCAAAGUAGCUAAUGUCUCUCUUCUGGCCCUUUACAAAGGCAAAAAGGAACAACCAAGAUCAUAAGUUUUGAUGAAAACACAGUAAUAAAUUUUCAUAUGCCAAAAAAAAAAUACCUCAGAGCUGAAUAAGAGAAAAAACAGCACAUAAAAUCUUAGCUCAGAGCCCCACAAACAGUAGUUUUAAUUAUUAUUGUCAGGGUCUUCAUUAGUCUCAUUAGUGCUACCACAGUGAAUCAACUCUGACCUUUAGCCCAGGCUCGCCCUGGCCCAGGUUCCUUCUCCUCUGGCCUGAUUCCACCCUCACUUAAGAUCUAGGGCCCAGGGCUCUUCCUGUCUGUGCCAACACUGCUUCCACUAGAGCUGGCCUCACACCCUACUCACUGGCUAUUCUCAUGAGACCCCUGGUCUGACUACAGUCUUCAGGGGCCUCGACCUACCCUGACAAUUGGGAGGGAAACUGGGUAGGGGGUGAUUCAUAGUGGGAUUUCCAGCCUUCCUGCUGCCUCCCAGGCCCAGCCCAGCCCAGGUGUGUUGGUGUGUGGGUGCGUGAAUCUGUGUGCAUGUGUUUCAGAGCCCAACCCAAACUGACCCCACUCUCUCAGCAGGCUUUUCAUAUACUUAGCAAUCCCUCCCUGACACACACUUUGUCCCUGAGCCUGUGCUGGGCACUUCUCAGCACCCAAAGAGAAUGUGGCAACAAUGGAUAGAGAA